UCUCUUUUGCCAUUGUGGCUAAAGCUAGAGAGAGGAGGAGAGGUGACCCUCUUUGUACCUUGGAUCCUUCCCUCUAAUCCAUCUAACCAUGGAUUCAUCUUCGUCUCUUCAUUUCCUCCAUGGGUGCAAGUAUCUAGGCCUUAGAGGGGAGCUCGGGAUUGAAGGAAGGAACUUUUUUGAGGCUUGGACUUCAACCCUAACAUCUCAUAACUUGGUUGUGAGCUUGAUUUGAGGGUGCAAGAAGUCUAAAGGGCAACUUCAUUUGUAAAACGAUCGAGUUUUCGACGAUUAUCCAGUAGAUUUGACCUUAUCGAAAUUGGUGAACUCUUUCUAUAUCUCCUAUCAUAUUAUAGAAUUCAAUAGAUGGUUUAAUAUGUUAUGCAUGACAACAUAAAAUUUUUGAGUAUACGGCAUAAUCAUUCUGUAUAUGAAAACUAGCAUUCUCUGUAUAGUAGAGGAUUAUGUAAUACGAACAUGCAUGUCAAGACAUGUGAAUUUGUAUUGGAUAUGAUAAUCUUCUUUUGCUCAAGUAUUUAUGCAUGCGAUAGUUGAGUUGUAUUAUAUAAAACACUGCAUGAUUAGUGGAACUAUUGGGCUAGAACUUCCAUGAAAAUUCUUUAUACUUGCUAUAGCUAAGAGGAAACAUUACCCAUUGCAUGUAAAUGACGGGUUGUAGAGUUAAGUAUUUUAUACUUAAACCAAGAUGAACAACUAGAUAUGACAUUAUGACAAUGUACUCGACUUAUAUGUCGUCAAUUGAUAUUUCAUAUUUUAGACAUGACAGAUGAGGUUUCAUACACAUUGCCUUUGUACUUAUUUGCACAAGCUUGUGAGGGUCGCUCCCUAUAAGCCAGCACUCCGGAGUUUAGCCUUUGCGACAUCAUACUCAUCCAUGCGGAAUUGGGCGCCAAAGUGGGAUGCCGUGGGCUAGGCUCAUUCUUAGAGAGGAAAUGUUGACUACCAUGGGACUAUUACGCAUGGCACAAAUCAGAACGUUAUCUUGUGUAAGUCCCCAUGAUUGGGAGAAAGUUAAUUGAACUUGACAAUUGUACAUCACAACUAAUUGAUACAUGCAUGUUAGUUAUACUUGUAAUUGAAUCUUUUACACUUGUAAGUAUGAUGAUAGUAAAACUAUAUAUAUGCUGAAUCGGCAUAGUCGUUUGGAGGUACUGUAGUAUUUAAACCUUUUUAUUCCAAUUACUAUAUCCAUACUUUAAAUUUUAGCUAUAAUCUAUCUUUAUCUCAGUUGACCUAGUGGUAUAAUUCGUUUUUCUUGGCGACUUACCAAUUGAAAACUAUUCUUUGAUAGUUCUCACCCCUUUUUUUUUUAUUUUAUUACAGAGUCUUUCAUAGCGAGAGAGGUUAGGAUCGCGACAAGAGUGCAGCAAUUAGCUAGAGCCUCUUGGUGUUGCUAUAGCUGGACCAUGACGCCUUUCUUUUAAUUUAUGUAGUGAAUGGUAUACAUUUGUAUAGGGAUCCCUUUGAAUUCAUGAGAUGUACCCUUUUGUAUUUAA